rnacentral:tRNA from 1 species
GACCCUUUCGUCUAGAUGGUCAAGGACGCCGCCUUUUCUCGGCGGUAACAUGGGUUCAAAUCCUGUAAGGGUCACCA